UACGUAGGUGGCAAGCGUUGUUCGGAAUUAUUGGGCGUAAAGGGCGCGUAGGCGGUUUGUUAAGUCGGCUGUGAAAGCCCGGGGCUCAACCCCGGAGGGUCAGCCGAUACUGGCAGACUAGAGUACGGAAGAGGUAGCUGGAAUUCCCGGUGUAGCGGUGAAAUGCGUAGAGAUGUGGAGGAACACCAGUGGCGAAGGCGACUCUUUGGCCUGUAACUGACGCUGAGGCGCGAAAGCGUGGGGAGCAAACAGGG
rnacentral:rRNA from 1 species